rnacentral:rRNA from 1 species
GUGCCUACGGGGGGCAGCAGUGAGGAAUAUUGGUCAAUGGGAGGAAUCCUGAACCAGCCAUGCCGCGUGCAGGACGACGGCUCUACGAGUUGUAAACUGCUUUUGUACCGGGGUAAAAUGCCUUACGAGUAGGGUUUUGAAAGUACGGUACGAAUAAGCAUCGGCUAACUCCGUGCCAGCAGCCGCGGUAAUACGGAGGAUGCGAGCGUUAUCCGGAUUUAUUGGGUUUAAAGGGUGCGCAGGCGGAGGCACAAGUCAGUGGUAAAAUCGCGGGGCUCAACCCCGCUCCGCCGUUGAAACUGUGU